rnacentral:rRNA from 1 species
GGGGGGAAUUUUGGACAAUGGGCGCAAGCCUGAUCCAGCAAUGCCGCGUGAGUGAAGAAGGCCUUCGGGUUGUAAAGCUCUUUUGUCAGGGAAGAAACGGCCGAGGCUAAUACCUUUGGCUAAUGACGGUACCUGAAGAAUAAGCACCGGCUAACUACGUGCCAGCAGCCGCGGUAAUACGUAGGGUGCAAGCGUUAAUCGGAAUUACUGGGCGUAAAGCGUGCGCAGGCGGUUUUGUAAGUCUGACGUGAAAUCCCCGGGCUCAACCUGGGAAUUGCGUUGGAGACUGCAAGGCUGGAGUCUGGCAGAGGGGGGUGGAAUUCCGCGUGUAGCAGUGAAAUGCGUAGAGAUGCGGAGGAACACCGAUGGCGAAGGCAGCCCCCUGGGCUAACACUGACGCUCAGGCACGAAAGCGUGGGGAGCAAAC